rnacentral:lncRNA from 1 species
UAUAGUUCAGUUAAGCAAAAAUUGGGUACCACACAAAUCACCCUCCCUCUUGUGUGAUAUUGACGUGUAAAACAUCACCCUCGAAAUCCAUGUGUCACUAAGUAUAUGAGCAACUAAAUGACAAUACAGUUUAACUGCUAAAAAUAACUGUCUAAGGAUAGAACAGUGCAAAUAAACUGAAAAGAAGGAGAGUCGAGGUCUGCGGACACCAAAGUAGCUACCUCAAGUACCUGGAUCUGCAUACAAAGUGCAGAAUGUAGUAUGAGUACAAGCGACCCAAUGUACUCAUUAAGUAACAUGACUAAUCUUGGGCUGAAAGUAGUGACGAGCUCAGAAAGGUACAAUCCAAAUCAGAUUAUAACAGUACAAAUAUGACCGAAAAAAUGACAAUAAUAUCUAAAAAAAACACGUAAUCAGUUGGUACACAGUACAAGAAUAUAGGCAUGCUUUCAAGUUAACAGUUUCAACUUAACACGGAUAAAAAUAUGCCAUGUAUGACUGAUAUAAGGAAUGCUACAUCUCUAUAUCUACAUGUAGAACCGCCAAAAUGGGCUUAGACCGUGAGGCCAGCCCAACCCAACUUGCUACUUGGGUAAGGCUGAAUUCGAAUUUUUUUAGCCCAUUUAAAACUGAGGCUUAUAAGCCCGGCCUAAGUCAGUCUGUUGGCUUUUGAGGCUUGACUGAGGCUGGGCCUAGGCGGUCCCGUGGGCCAAAUAUUAAUUAAAUUCAAAUUUAAAUAUUUAAAAAAAGUAAAAAUUAAAAAAAAUAUUAAAUAAUCCAUAUUUUCCAACCUUAGAUUGCUCAUUUACCCUUCCAUAUCAACUAGAAUUUAUAUUUUUGAUAUGCAUGUAGUAUGACAAGAUUAGUUUUUCUUUUGAUCAAUUAACAACGAACUAGGAAAGUUUUAAGUGGCCAAUCAUUUUUUUCCAAAAGAAAAUAUUACUUUAACUGGCCAAUGAUCAGUUUUAAGUGGCCAAUCAUUUAAUUAUUAUAGGAAGAUGCGGAGGUCGAGUAUUAGAGUUGUAGGUUAGGAGAUAGUUGAGUUUUUCCUUACUUCGCACCUUUGUAAGACUAGUCUGGUAGAGUUUUUUGUCUAAGAUAGUUAAUGGCAAUGUUGUGUCUUACUAUUUUGCCUUUCAAUGCAGGGCCUUUUGAUUAGCUUUCGCUUUUUCUUUGCAUCUUUCUUUUAGAUUCAUAUUGUUCCUAUUUUUCCUACGAUUUCUGUGGUGAUACUAAUAUUGUCUCAUUUUUGUCUUUUUAUUUUCUUGAGUCGAGGGUCUUUCGGAAACAACCUCUCUACUCUUUCGGGGUAGGGGUAAGGUCUGCGUAUACACUACCCUUCCCAGAUCCCAUUAGUGGGAUUUUACUGAGUUGUUGUCGAUGUUGUUUGUUAGCAUAAAAAAGGUCAAGUUUUAAUACCCAAAGAAAAUUGACAACACUAGCAAAUAUCAUGAAUUUUAAAAUUUGUAUGUACUAUAAUGAUGAAAUCAACAAAUAAUAUUAAACCUAAAUUAAAAAACCUUAACGUAUAAACUUAUUGAAGCAAUUCUUGAACCUAAGGAAAGUGAAAGAAAAGUACUAAAAAUAUUUAUGUAAUGUUAAAAAGAAGAGCUAAAGAUAUAGAGAAUUUACAUUUCAAUUACGAGAUUCCUUGUCAAAUAUCAAGAUUCUUGUACAAUCUAAAUAAACAAAAAUCGUUCAUAUGAUUAAGAGAUUACGUCACAAAAAAUAUCUAAAGAUUUGGAGAAAUAUUUUUUUCUAAAAAUAUUGAAGGGUUGGCCUGCCCUAACCCGCGACCCUCUUAGAGCUGGGCUAGGAUGGGCUGGUCAUUUUAAGGCCCAUAUAGAUGGAGGGCCGACCCACCCUAUCCCACCAAAUUUAAAAGCCCACGAGGCUUGGGCUAGGCUUGCCCGUUUUGACAGCUCUAUCUAUAUGUCAAUGUGCAUGUCGCAUGUAAUGCAUCACAAUGAUACACGUACUCCCACUCUCAAAGUAUUCAAUCUGAUUGUCUCAACUCUCACUCAUCACACUUAGUCACUCCGCACUGUACGGUACCUGCACUCACUGCUAGUAUGUCAGACUCCGGAAGGGCGGAUCUGCCCAAGUGCUAGUAAAAACCUACUGCAACGCACAUCCCGAUCCCAUCAUGAAUCAAUAAUACCUGCUGCGGCGUGCAGCCUGAUCCCAUCAUGAAUCAAGAAAAAUUGCUGCGGCGUGCAGCCUGAUCCCAUCAAUAUCACUUACAAUCAGGCCAUCGGUCUCACUAAGUCAUCAAUCUCUCCAGUCUCUUGAGGUCACAACACUCAUGCCAAUCAGCCCAAAAUAAUGAUACAUGAUAUAACAAUAAAUGGUAACAUAAACUUAGAUAUGAUAUGAUGAAUGCGACUGAAUACAUAACUAUUGUUUAAGGAAAUAACUCAAUAGCAAAAGAACGACCUUUGUGGGUCCUAAAAGUACCAUCAUAUAGCCUAAGCAUGAUUUCUAACAUGAAUCACAUCUAAAUUUCUCUAACACAUGGAGAAUACAUGAAUAAAUAUCAAGAUUUGAUAACUACACAGUUCCACGGAAUCAACCAAGUGACAAUUUCUACGGUACUUACCCACACACCCGUCACCUAGCAUGUGCGUCACCUCAACACCAAUCAUAUAACAUGUAUUUUAGGGAUUCAUACCCUAAGAACCAAGUUUAAAAGUGUUACUUACCUCAAACCGCGCAAAUCUCUACUCCAACAGGCCCUUGCCUCGCGAAUCGGCCUCCGAACGACUCGAAUCUAGCCACAAACAACCCAAUAUAAUCAACACAAGCUAUAGAAAUCAAUUCAUAUGAUAAAGUAAGGUUCUUUAACAAAAGUCAAAAAGUCAACCCAUGUUGGCCCAAGUAAAUUUGUUUUGAUGAUUGGCAAAGGAACACACGCAUGAACCAAGUUCAUACACAGUGCACACAAACACAGGUAGAUUCAAGCACAAUGCAUGCACGUGAAGGAGAUAAGCUUAAGUGGUUAUAUCUGAUAUCUCCUAAAUGAAAAGGUUGCAUAAUUGAUAAGGAGUAGGACUCCUUACUCAAAGAGAAUUCUAUCCUAGAGAAGGGAUGAGUUAGAAGUUGAAGAUAACUUGAACUCUUCUACCGUGGAAGAGUAUAACAUUAGAUCUCUAGAUAAUCUUAUUCUACUAACUCUAUAUAUUUCAGGAUGUUCUCAUUUUAUAGGCACACACAAACGCUGAAGUUAAACGAGAGUUGAGAGAAAAAUAGCAAGGCAUUUUGCAAGCAAUUCCUGUGUGAUUCAAGUGUGCGAACCUGAAGCUAUAUGAACCAGAUAGGAGAAUCAGUUCCAAGUGUCUGUCUUUUAUUCUAGUUCAAUUGUACUAUGACUUUUGAGUUGUACCUUUCAGCUUUCUUAGAAGCGAAUUGUACUAGGUACUCUAAAUGUAGUGUUCAAGUUAGAGUUAACUUAAAAUUGUCACAACAGUCUGAGGCUGGUUGCUACAAAGGGUUAGAGGUAAUCCUUAGGUUUACAAAAGCGUUGUAAAUGCUGUUUUUGGCUCAGUGAUUUAGUGAAGUGUUGGAAAAAAUCCUACUAGGUAGUAGGUCAUGAUUUUUCACCUUUUGAGCCGGGUAUUUUUCGCGUAAAAAUACUUGUGUUCUUUACUUUCUACAUUUAUUAUUCUGCAACAGUAGUAUAAGAAACACAUAGAAGAACCAGGUCCUUCUAUAAUUUGUGCACGUAAAAAAUUGAAUACCACACAAAUCACCCUCCCUCUUGUUUGGUAUUGAUGUAUAAAACAUCAACCCAAAAAGCCAACCCGGGCCCACAUUUCGGAAUUCGGCAAAAUUAACAUAAUCCGAAUACCCAUUUAACAACGAGUCCAACCAUAUCAAAAUUACCCAAUUCCGACAUCAAAUCAUUACUCAAAUCCCCAAAUCUUACUCUCCAAUCUCUAGCCCAAAUUUCGCUAAAUUCCACCUCUAGGUGAGAAAUUCAAUGGGUAUUCAAUAUUAAUAGAUAAAAACGACCAAAAGUUGCUUACCUCUUGAAAUUUAGUGAAACCCCUCUCACAAAUCACCUCCAACAGUGCUUGCAAAGUCCAAAAAUAAAGAAAUCUCAGAACCCUUCGAAUUUAUAUUCUUCCCACGCAUUUUCGCUUCUGCGGUCCAUUUAGACGUUUCUGCGAAAAAUACUCAACACCCGACCUGCCGCACUUGUGGCCCAACAUCGUGCUUGUGAGACCGCUUCUGCGGUCCACCCUUCAAUUUUGCUCUUCCGCUUCUGCGCACUCCUCUCUGCUUCUGUGAUCGCCAGCCACACCUACUAAACUCUCUAUCUGCGGAGACUAGCGGAAAACUUCCUCGCACCUAUGACCACUGCCCAACUCACACAAGACCGCACCUGUGACCCCUGGCUUGCUUCUGCGGUCGUGCACCUACGACCAAUCCUCCGCAGGUGCGAUGGCACUAGACAUCAGCAGCAUCAGAAAUUCUUCUAUGUCCAAUUUCAAUCCGCUAGCUAUCCGAAAGCCACUCGAGACCCUUGGGACCUCAACCAAGCAUAAAAACAAGUCUUAAAAUAUCAUACGAACUCGCUCGAAGCCUCAAAUCGCAUCAAACAACACUAAAACCACGAAUCGCACAUCGAUUCAAGCCUAAUGAACUUCUAACUUUGAAAACUAAUGCCGAAACAUACCAAACCAACUCCGUUUGACCUUAAAUUUUGUACACAAGUCAUAAAUGACACAACAGACUUAUUCCAAGUUCCGGAACCAAAAUUUGACCCCGGUAAUAACAAAGUCAACUGUCGGUCAAACUUUUCAACUCUUCAAACUUCGACUUUUCCAACUUCCGCUAAUUCAAGCCAAAAUAAUCUACGGACCUCCAAAUCAACAUCAAAACACACUCCUAAGUCCAAAAUCAUCAUACGGAGCUAUCAGAACCAUCAAAACUCUAUUUCAGAGUCAUUUACAUAGAAGUCAACAUCCGGUCAAUUCUUUCAACUUAGGCUCCCAACAUUGGGACUAAAUGUCCCAAUUCAUUCCGAGAUAUCCCCAGAAUCAAAUCACCACUCCCACAAGUCACAUAAUAACAAACAAACAUAGAAUAAGCAAUAAAUGGAAGAACAGAGCUAUUAUACUCAAAAUGACCGGCCAUCUCGUUACAACUUUGGUAGCACGAUCCAUGUCCCUUGCGCCUGCACUAGACCUUGUGUGAUGGCGUGGCACAAGCACCUAAGGCAUGCCUGCAUUUUCUACUUUUUCCAACUUAUUGAAUGGAAAAUCACCUUGAGACUUAUGAUUCGUUACUGCUAGAGAUUCCAUGAGAUUGAUAGUAUUAUUGUAAUAUUGUAAAGUUAUACUUUGUGUAUUGUUUUGAGAUUGUGGAAAUCAUAUUUAUUUAAAAUAAAAUAUUUUCCGAAACUAUUAUAUCGCAUUGUUCAUGGAAUGAGUAGAAUAUAAUUGGUGCACUUGGUGCUAGUUUAAGGCAAUGGGGUCGAUCACUUAAUCAUCCGAAAUUGAGGUAUGACAAUUUGUAGAAAAAAUAGAAUUCACUGCAAAAAAAGAGAGGUGAAAGUUGGCAAGAUGAGAGAUGACAAAUUUUAGGUACGAGACGGUUCAAAUAAUUAGGCUCCAUUUGUUUGUUUUUCUUCCAGCCUAUAAAAAAUUCGAACUUGGUCCAAUCCAUUGUAUUUAAAUAUGUCACUCAUAUUAUUUAAUCUUUAAUAUCUCUAGUAACAAAAUAUAUUUACAAUUAUGAUUCUAUGUUAUUAAUCUAAUGAGCUAAAUUUAACAUAAAUGUCAAAAGGAGACACUAUAAUCUUAGUGCACAUGAUAUUAUAUUAGGACUAUGAAUUAGAGAUGUAUCAUAAUCAACUACCAAAAUUUGAUCUCGCCCAACUAUGCCUUACAAAAAUGACUAAGCUAGCGCCGUAAAUAUAAUGUCUGGUCUGAGAGUCCAGAGUUGAAUCCCACAAAGAACUAAGAUUUAGCUACAAAUAUUAAGAUAUUAUUUUGAUGUGCCGUGGAAUUUUGGCACUUUUGAUACAAAUUACUUAGAUUUUAGCUUGUCUUUCAAUGCAUUUUUAGUUAAUUCUUAUCAAGUUUUGAUGUUUUGAAGUGCAUGAGACUUGAGGACCCAAAAACAUGGAAAAGAAGUCAAAAAGUCACAAAGGGACAGAAAUGCUGCAAGUAUGCGACCGCAGAAGUCAAAUGCGGAUCACAUAACCUCCGCAAAGCGAAGCAGAGCUUUUGGCCAGCUGAAAAGAAGAAUAUGCGGUCGCAUAACACUUUUGCGGACCGCAUAAUGAUCGCAUAAAUUCCAACUGAAGUUGCUGGCAAAUAUGCUGCGAUGGAACAUGCGGUCACAUAACAGAUAUGCAGCCCGCAUAAUUGGAAUGUGGCAGAGAUCUGGACUUCAAGACCUAUAAGUAUGCGAUGUUGCGGACCGCAUGCAUGGUCUGCGAUCAUUAUGCGAUCGCAGAAGGUCUCUGCAAGGGAAGUUUUGUCCAACUUUGACCCCGACUUUUAGUACACUAUAAAGAGAAUAACUAGAAGUUUUGUGGGUCAUUAAGUCUGAAAAAGGGGUAACAUUGAAGGCAAUGAAUACUCCAUUAAUUUGGAAGCUUGUGAAGAGAGAAUCUUGCACUUUUGUAAGCUUUAUGUCUUUAUUUAUUGCUUUGCUUUUGUAUUUUAGUAUAAGUAGCUAGUUUUACAUAUUAAGGUUGUGGACCCUAAAUGGGUGCAAUGUUAAUGGGUGUUUGACACUGAAUAUAUAUAUAAUGCUUGGUUGAUAUUUAUUCAUCUCUUGUGCUUUAUUUAUUGUUGGUGGUUGCAAACAUUAACAUAUUCCAUUUUACUCUUUCUUUACUUGGAAAAGUGGAUUAGAGUUUGGUAGAAGUGAAUAUCAAGAACUCAAGACUUUAAACCUUGUUUAAUAGAAUCACUUAGGAAUAAGUGGGUUCUACUUGGCAUAAAUUGGUUGUUCUUAAGUGCAACUAUUUUAUAUUUGGGAAAAUCAUAAAGAGAAAAUACUACCCAACCAUUGAAAAAUAUUGGGUAGCUAUUAGAAACCAUUUGCAUAUCAAAAGGACCUUCAAUUAGAAAUAUAUCAUAUUAACACUAAUAGCAUUAAAUUUUAUUGAUGGGGACAUAACCUUGGUUUACCUAAUCAAAUUAAUCACAUUCUCAUAAUAAAAUUAGUUAUCUUAUUAAAUCAUAAUUACAUCAUUCUCUUGUUAAGCUAAAGGAAUAGAAUUACGACUUAAGUCAAGUUUCACACUACUCAAGUAACCUUUUCACACCUAUUCCAUGUGAAAUUCGACCCCAACCUUGUUGGGUUAUUAUAUUUGACACUGACCGCCUUACACUGUUUAAAUAAAGUGUAAUUUGAGCGUAUCAAAUUUUGGCGUCGUUACGGGGAAUACGGUUUUGAAAUUACUAAUUAGUGUGUGCUUUACUUUACGUCUUCUUCUAUUCCAUCACACUUUGCUUGUUUUGCUUGGUGUUGAUAGGAAAACAUGGUCGAAUAUGAUGAAGAAGAGAAUCCUUUUGCGGAUAUAGAUGAGUACAUUGAGGAUAUAAAUGCUAUUGUACCUCCGAGAGUUGACACUACCACUUUCAAGGUGGAACACGGUUUAAUCCUAAUGCUCAAAGCAGAGGUUUUUUUUAGAAAUUCCACCGAUGAUGAUCCGACACAACAUCUCAGAAACUUCUUGGGUAUGUGUACGAUGCACAAACAGAACAACGUCUCAGAUGAUGCCCUAAAAUUGAGGGUGUUUAAGUACUCACUGACUGGAGAGGCGAGGAAAUGGAUUCAAAAUAUACCACCAAAUUCCAUCCAUUCUUGGCAUGAACUUGUCCGAGCAUUCCUAGCUAAAUGGUUCCUGCAAAGCAAGAAAUCUGAGCUCUGGGAUAAAAUUUUCUUUUUCAAGCAAUUACCGGGAGAACAUCUACAUGAGGCAUAAGAUCGAUUCAAGUUAUAUUUGGUGAGGUUGCCGAAUCAUGGUUUUACGGAUUUUAUCUUGUUGGAGAAAUUCUACAUGGGUUUGGAUGCUAUGAACCAACCUAUAGCCAAGAAUGCAGCUGAUGGAUCUUUUAUGGAUAAAACAUUUGCGAGGAUCACACAAAUCCUUGACAAAAUGGCUAAACAUAACCAAGCUUGGCACUCAGAGGACACCACGGGUGGAAUUGCAUAUGGUACUCUUUCCUUGACAAACAUGAACCAAGAAAGAGAUCAAGUAAUUGUCGGGCUUGCCACCAAUGUCAAUGUGUUGACAAAGAUGUUCACUGAAAGCCAAACAAAAAAGGUGAAUGUGGUGGAAGAUGUUCAACCCACAUCAAAUGAAGAUUAUGAGGAAGCAAAUUAUGUCAACAACUCUCAAUGAGGUUAUCAAAGGCAACAAUAACAAGGUUCAGGACAACAAAACCAAUGGAGGCCUAACCUGCAAGGGCAAGGCAACAAACAAUAGCGAAAUGACCAAGGUAGUUCAAAUCAAGGAAAUUGGAGUAACAACAACAAUAACAACUUUUCAAAUCGGAGUUCAAACCCUUAUGUUCCACCGAAAGGGCAAUAUUCCAAUUCUUCGCAUUGGAAGGAAGGUUCUUCAAGUGAUUCCAAGUUGGAAAACAUGCUUGAGCGAGUAUUGCAAAAUCAAGAUAGGUCCGACACUUCAAUGAGGAAUAUGACCGAGCUUGUCGGUUCACAUACCGCAUCUAUUCAAAAGUUGGAGAUGCAAAUGAGAAACCUCUCAAGAGAGCAAAAUCAGUGGGAGUAUUCCAACUUUCCAUUGCAUGACAAUUACAACUUGGAGUGGGAAAGUACUUCAAGGAGGAAAUGAACAAGUGGUCGAAGUGGAAGAUUCCAAACAAGAAGUUGAGGCACAAGUUGAAGUGGCAAUUGUUGUUGAAGCUAAAAAGGUCCCGAAAGAGGUGAAAAUUCAAGAAGUAACCUGGGAAGAUGUUAAGGAAAAGGUGAAAGAGACGCCAAAAACUCUAGCACCAAUUCCUAGACCCCCUCCUCCUUUCCCUCGAAGACUUUCUAGGAAGGUUGAUGAUAGCAAACUCAAGAAUUUCUAUGGCAUUCUCAAGCAAUUAUCGGUAAAUAUUUCAUUUAUGGAAGCAUUUCAAGAGAUGCCGGGUUUUGCUAAGUAUUUGAAAUACUUGACACCAAGAAAAAAACCACCAAGAAUGAAGUGGUGAAUGUGACUCAUCGGGUUAGUUCUAUCAUUGCAACAACCACUGUUAAAAAAAAAUAAGACCCGGGAGCUUUUAUCAUUCCAUGCACUAUUGGGGCGCGCGAUUUUGCAAGAGCUCUUUGUGAUAAUGGGGCUAGCAUCAAUUUAAUGCCUCUUACUAUUUAUAAGCAAGCAGGGUUAGGUAUGCCGAGGCCUACAAGUGUGAGGUUUGUCACACCUCCUUUUUACACACUCGAAGGUAAUAUAAGGGAGUUUUUCCAUUUUAAGUGACAUUAUUCGAAAUGAGAUUAUUUAUUUCAUUUUAGAGUCGCCACUUGGAAUAUUUUAAUUGGUGUCCCAAGUCUCCGAUUUAUUUUUUAAUCCCAAAUCGAGGAAAUUUCGACUUUCCUUUUGAAGUCUGCGAACCAGAAAUUCUGAAUAAGGAAUUCUGUUAACCCGAGGGAAGGUGUUAGGCACCCCCGGAUUCCGUGGUUCUAGCACGGUCGCUUAAACUAUUACAAUUGGCUUGUUAUCUGAUUUUAAUACUUGUUUUAACCUAUGAUUCAAUUUUAACUUUAUAAGCGCUUUUAUUUAAUUAUUAUUUUUUAGGAAAGAUUCAACGUCAUCUAAAACAUGUCUUGAACCACGUCACAUAAAUGCACCCGCGGUCCACAACACACUUUAUCCAAUGUUAUUGAGAUUUGGAUUUGGGUCACAUAAAUGCACACCCGGGUGUAGGAAAUUAAUUUAAAUUACACGCCUAAAGCAACUACGCACUUUCAAGUUUACGAGGGCCAUGAAAAAUUUAACUAAAUGACACACCUCGAUUUCUAAAGGAUUAAAAUUAAUUAAAUGAGGGCCAUGAGUCUUGAAAUUUUAUUUGGCAUGGCACACCUCAAAUUAUUUCAAAUUGUAUUCAACUAAAGCAAACCACGAUGUUCAUAAUUUGAGAUUGUUAUUUUUCUGAAAUCUACAACAAUAACAAUGUAAUAGAGGUUUGUUUUCCAGCAUCCAAGACAAAAAAAACGUUUCUUCUUUUGCCACUGAAGUAAAUAACACAUCUGAACACCUAUACUUUAUAUUCUCAUGACAUUUCUCAAAGGUAUCAUUACCAUCUUAAAGAAUUCCAAGCAUAUGAUCAAGAAUAAGUAACCAGCUACUUCUGGUGCAUGAUCUUAUUAGAAUUAAUUCUCAAUCAGAAACUUAUUAAUGAAGAGGUUGGCUUAGAAUACGCUUAUUAAAGGAACUCUAAUUAGAAGCUGUAAUUCUCUUAAACCUUCAAUGGAUACUAAAAUGGAACCACUGACUCAUGCAUUGUUGAGCUUCACUCAAAUUGCCAAUUUCCAACCCAUUCAACCAAAGAUAAAAAAAAAACCCAUAGAAGUGUAAAUUUUGAUCCUCACAUUCCAAACAACAUCACGGCAGUUCAAUAAUCAAUGUCACUGCUUUGUGCUCAAAAUCUCAACAUCGUGAAAAAGGAAAAGAAAAACAGCAUGGUACAUACUUCAAUUCUAACAUGACAACUUAAAAUAAACCAAGACUAGGGAAACGCAUAUAUGCUGCUUCAAAGUCAGUGACACUAUUUUAACUGUGCUAAGCAUUUUGAGCAACAGAGGAAAUAGAGUCACGAUAAUUCCAGGCAGCCAAAAUGUAAACAAUCUCAUCCAAUCUUUAAAAGACAAGCGGUCAUAAACAGACAUAACAAGGUAAAUACAAUGAGCAUACAAAACUAAACAUGGACAACAACAUGAAUAGUUCAAAUUUCAUUUGCCUAGUUGAAAAGAAUUACAGAACGGUCUUGACAUACCUAGCAGCGAAAACGGAAAUAAAUUUCAUGAAGACGAGGCAAAGGUUGAAAUCUUUCAAGGUAAAGCCCAGCAGAAUAUUUUCAGCAGGAGCAGCGACAACAAUCACAAAGCUGAACUUCUAUAGCUUAUAUAAAUCCAAAAAAAAAAGUUUGAGCUUUGAAAUCAGUUUUUUCGUCAAACUUCCUCUUGAAAUUUCAAGUUUCCUUUCUGUUUUUCAGCUUUUAGUGAGAGAGCAGGUGGACGAAACUUCUAUCCAAACAACUUGAAGUUGAAAUCGAGCCGAUUGACUGUGUGCAUCCACUGCUUUUUGAGCGAGAGGUCAAGAGCAUGGAUAGAGAAAAAUGAAGUUUCUUUAGAGAGGAGCCUCUGAUUUUUUGUUUCCCUUUUAGGUGUAAUCAGUGAGGGAUUAGAUCUGAUUGUUCUCAAGAGGAGGAGCAACGCCGUUUUCUCUUAAAUCUGAAGGAGAAGCUCCGCC